CAGCCGCCGCGGUAAUACGAAGGGGGCUAGCGUUGUUCGGAUUUACUGGGCGUAAAGGGCGCGUAGGCGGGCGAUUAAGUCAGGGGUGAAAUCCCAAGGCUCAACCUUGGAACUGCCUUUGAUACUGAUUGUCUUGAGUCCGGGAGAGGUGAGUGGAACUGCGAGUGUAGAGGUGAAAUUCGUAGAUAUUCGCAAGAACACCAGUGGCGAAGGCGGCUCACUGGCCCGGAACUGACGCUGAGGCGCGAAAGCGUGGGGAGCAAACAGGAUUAGAUACCCGCGUAGUCCCUGUCUCUUAUAC
rnacentral:rRNA from 1 species